AUAUAAGAGAACUGUAUGCCGAACACCUGGGAUGGAGAAAUAGUUGCUUAACCUUAAGAGGUAGAACAAAAAAAAAAAAAAAAAAAAAGAGGGAGAAGAAAAAAAAGUAGAAAUAGUUAAUAUUUUUUUUAAGAUGGAAAUUAAAAGAGACUCUGAACUGUUAAUAGAAAUUAUUUCUGUAACAACCUUCUAAUAAGUUUUGUUUGUUUUUCUUUAACAAUAGUAAAGAUGCAAAUGCAGUGGUCCCAGUGAUCACUCUAGGUCUACUUUUCUGCCUUCCUUUCCAAACCAUUAAAUGGCAGAGGAAAAUAUGUUCUGGGAGCCAGAAGUGCAGCUGGAGAAGAGGGUUUCACAGGGGAACUGUCACUUCAGUUUUACAUAGCUGGACUCUCACCUCCAGAGCAAGACAAUUUCAGGCCCAUCUAACAGAGAACCUACUUUUGGAGCUGUAAAGUACAUGACAAGACAAAUUUAAAAGGAUCUGUGAAUACACUGAUUACUA
ensembl:lncRNA